rnacentral:rRNA from 1 species
GCAGAGCACUCCUCGGGAGGCAGCAGUGGGGAAUAUUGCACAAUGGGCGCAAGCCUGAUGCAGCCAUGCCGCGUGUAUGAAGAAGGCCUUCGGGUUGUAAAGUACUUUCAGCAGUGAGGAAGGUGGGUAUGUUAAUAGCAUAUUCAUUUGACGUUAGCUGCAGAAGAAGCACCGGCUAACUCCGUGCCAGCAGCCGCGGUAAUACGGAGGGUGCGAGCGUUAAUCGGAAUUACUGGGCGUAAAGCGCAUGCAGGUGGUUUGUUAAGUCAGAUGUGAAAGCCCGGGGCUCAACCUCGGAAUUGCAUUUGAAACUGGCAAACUAGAGUACUGUAGAGGGGGUAGAAUUUCAGGUGUAGCGGUGAAAUGCGUAGAGAUCUGAAGGAAUACCGGUGGCGAAGGCGGCCCCCUGGACAGAUACUGACACUCAGAUGCGAAAGCGUGGGGAGCAAACAGGAUUAGUUACCCUGGUAG